GACGUAGGGCGCGAGCGUUGUCCGGAUUUAUUGGGCGUAAAGAGCUCGUAGGCGGCUUGUCGCGUCGUCUGUGAAAUCCCGCGGCUCAACCGCGGGUCUGCAGUCGAUACGGGCAGGCUAGAGUUCGGUAGGGGAGACUGGAAUUCCUGGUGUAGCGGUGAAAUGCGCAGAUAUCAGGAGGAACACCGGCGGCGAAGGCGGGUCUCUGGGCCGAUACUGACGCUGAGGAGCGAAAGCGUGGGGAGCGAACAGG
rnacentral:rRNA from 1 species